rnacentral:misc_RNA from 1 species
UCAACACUUCUAGGAACUGGUGAAAAUUGGACCUUGAUGAAGACUAUAAGUGUUACUGAAUACUUAAACUAUGAAGCAGGAAAGUUUUCGAAGAGUAAAGGUAUAGGUGUUUUUGGUAAUGAUGCAAAAGACACAAACAUUCCUGUAGAAGUCUGGAGAUAUUAUUUACUAACUAACAGGCCAGAGGUAUCUGACACACUAUUUACAUGGUCUGAUUUGCAAGCAAAACUUAACAGUGAGUUGCUCAAUAAUUUGGGCAACUUCAUUAAUCGAGUUUUGAGUUUUAUUGCUAAACCUCCAGGAACAGGAUAUGGUUCCAUUAUUCCAGAUGCUCCAAAUGCAGACUCACAUCUCACAUCCCCUGACAAAGAAAUUGGCUGAAGAAGUUGGUAAAUAUGUGGAGCAAUAUGUUGAAGCUAUGGAAAAGGUCAAAUUAAAGCAAGGACUGAAAACUGCAAUGAGCAUUUCUAGUGAAGGGAAUGCAUAUUUGCAAGAAAGCCAAUUCUGGAAGCUUUACAAGGAAGACCAAUCUUCAUGUAAUAUAGUUAUGAGGACUUCUGUAGGACUUGUAUACCUUCUUGCUUGUUUAUUAGAACCCUUUAUGCCAUCUUUCUCUUUUGAGGUUUUCAAGCAGCUUAAUUUUCCUCCUGAGAAAGCUUCACUUUGUGAUGA